rnacentral:tRNA from 2 species
CAAGAAAUAGUUUAUAAUAAAAUAUUAACUUUGGGAGUUAGUGAAGAGGAAGUUUCUUUUUUCUUGA